AGCAGUCGCCGCGGGGAAUACGAAGGGUGCAAGCGUUACUCGGAAUUACUGGGCGUAAAGCGUGCGUAGGUGGUGGUUUAAGUCCGUUGUGAAAGCCCUGGGCUCAACCUGGGAAUUGCAGUGGAUACUGGGUCACUAGAGUGUGGUAGAGGAUAGUGGAAUUUCCGGUGUAGCAGUGAAAUGCGUAGAGAUCGGAAGGAACAUCUGUGGCGAAGGCGACUAUCUGGGCCAACACUGACACUGAGGCACGAAAGCGUGGGGAGCAAACAGGAUUAGAUACCCGCGUAGUCCCUGUCUCUUAUA
rnacentral:rRNA from 1 species